rnacentral:rRNA from 1 species
AGAAUCAACGCUGGCGGCGUGCCUAACACAUGCAAGUCGCACGAGAAAGUGGAGCAAUCCAUAAGUACAGUGGCGCACGGGUGAGUAACACGUGAAUUAUCUACCUCCGAGUGGGGAAUAACUGAGAGAAAUCUUAGCUAAUACCGCAUAACACUUACGAGUCAAAGCAGCAAUGCGCUUGGAGAGGAGUUCGCGGCCGAUUAGUUAGUUGGCGGGGUAAUAGCCCACCAAGACGAUGAUCGGUA